rnacentral:rRNA from 1 species
CGCGAAGAACCUUACCUGGGCUUGACAUGUACGUAGUAGUGAAGGGAAACCGGAACAAGCCUUCGGGCAGCGUAGACAGGUGCUGCAUGGCUGUCGUCAGCUCGUGUCGUGAGAUGUUGGGUUAAGUCCCGCAACGAGCGCAACCCGUGUUGCUAGUUACAAGUGUCUAGCGAGACUGCCGGUAACAAGCCGGAGGAAGGUGCGGAUGAUGUCAAGUCAGCAUGGCCUAUAUGUCCAGGGCUACACACACGCUACAAUGGCUGGUACAAAGAGAAGCGAAAGGGAGACCUGAAGCGAAUCUCAUCAAAGCCAGUCAUAGUUCGGAUUGCAGGCUGCAACUCGCCUGCAUGAAGUCGGAGUUGCUAGUAACCGCAGGUCAGCAAUACUGCGGUGAAUACGUUCCCGGGCCUUGUACACAC